GAUGAACGCUAGCUACAGGCUUAACACAUGCAAGUCGAGGGGAAACGGCAUCGAAAGCUUGCUUUUGAUGGGCGUCGACCGGCGCACGGGUGAGUAACGCGUAUCCAACCUGCCCAUCACUUGGGAAUAACCUUGCGAAAGUAAGACUAAUGCCCAAUGACAUCCCACGAAGGCAUCCGAAUGGGAUUAAAGAUUUAUCGGUGAUGGAUGGGGAUGCGUCUGAUUAGCUUGUUGGCGGGGUGACGGCCCACCAAGGCAACGAUCAGUAGGGGUUCUGAGAGGAAGGUCCCCCACAUUGGAACUGAGACACGGUCCAAACUCCGACGGGAGGCAGCAGUGAGGAAUAUUGGUCAAUGGGCGAGAGCCUGAACCAGCCAAGUAGCGUGCAGGAUGACGGCCCUAUGGGUUGUAAACUGCUUUUAUAAGGGAAUAAAGUGGGUCACGUGUGACUUUUUGCAUUUACCUUAUGAAUAAGGACCGGCUAAUUCCGUG
rnacentral:rRNA from 1 species